rnacentral:lncRNA from 8 species
AAUCAUGUCCAACCAAUUGAAUUUGCCACAGGUGGACUCCAAUCAAGUUGUAGAAACAUCUCAAGGAUGAUCAAUGGAAACAGGAUACACCUGAGCUCAAUUUCGAAUCUCAUAGCAAAGGGUCAGAAUACUUAUGUAAAUAAGGUAUUUCUGUUUUUUAUUAUUCAUAAAUAUGCAAACAUUUCUAAAAACCUGUUUUUGCUUUGUCAUUAUGGGGUAUUGUGUGUAGAUUGAUGAGAUUCUUUUAAUUUUUUUAUCAAUUGUAGAAUAAGGCUGUAACUUAACAAAAUUAGGAAAAAGUGAAGGGGUCUGAAUAUUUUCAGAAUGCACUGUAUACCCUCACAGCAGCGACAAUUGCAACUGAUGUGUGAUAUACUGGUCCACGACAGCAAGUCCAAUGCAUUCCAGAAUGAUGAGCAGGGAUCCAUGCUGGCCAACUUCAACCACAGGGGAGCCAAUGUCACCCAACAUAAGAGCAAACGAUAGGCUACUACAAGUAUAGUCAUAUCCCAGUUCUUUUUUAAAUGACCUCAUACUUUAUUCAUUUGGGUUUUGUUUCUAUUGAUUUCUCAUUCGAUUAUCUGUCAUCGACGAGUCUUCAUUCCCGUCUCACUCUGAUAUUAGUUAUGAUAGAACUGAUGAUGACACUUUAUCGCUGAAAAUCCACAUUUAAAGCAAGAUUAAAUUAUUUUAUAUGUACCCUAUAUGACAGUGUAAAAGCUUGUGGCUUGUGGAUGGUCCGUGUAUCACUCUAUCACGUAGUGUUUCAAUGUGUACAGGUCCUGGAUGUAACAGUGGUAAACCACUUAAGUCGAGGGCAAGAGAAAAAAGGCUAUCUUCCAUGACACCGAAUGCAGGUGCUCCCACUGGAAAGACAGGAAGAGUAGGUGGUCGCUCAGAAGAUCACCUUGGGGGAAGACGAGUGGAAAAGAAUGGCAUUUAAUGUGUUGCUGGGGGUGAGCGUAUGGUGAAGGAGCAUGCCCAGAGUGGAUGAGAUCCACAUCAUUUCCUGAGGAAACUGAAGGAGUCUCUCAUCACCUUCAGGCUGCAUAGAACCUUCAUGGAGACCUGUGGUAUGUGAUCACUUUUAAUGACAGGGUUGGGGUCAAUUCGGAAUUACUGAAUUUAAUGAAAUUCAAACAAUGAAUUUGAAUUGGCUACACCUCACAGCAAGCAUAAUUUGAAUUGCAUUUAAAUUGAAGGAAACAGAAUUGAAUUCAAAGCAAUUCAAACCAAUUUAACUGAGAUGUGAAACAUGAAAGUCUCAUUCAGUUGACAAAUCUUUUAUCACAAGGAUAGGCCACAAGGAUAGGCCACAACAAAUAUAGACUAUGAUGAUGUGUA